GCCUUUUGUGCGCCCUGCCGGCCGUGUCCCCUUUUGUUUGAAAAACCAAGUCCACGGUGCUCACGAUGCUACACGCCACGCUACCCGACGUGUGCGUCGUCUUGGCUGUUGCGUGCAUCAUGUGCACAAUACGACGAUAACGACGCUGCCAUGCCGACGGUCUGUGCGUGCCCGUCAUACCAUACCAGGAGCACGGCCAAGCGCUCCCGUGACGACGAUGGCACCGCCGCUGAUCAUUCGCCGCACGAGGGCAGCGCUACCCCGCCCGAUGCCACGGCAGACACGUCCUCGUGCCAGCCCCUCAAGCGAUGUAGGGGGACCCCGCCAGCCGCUGCCCUGCCGCCUGUUGGACCCCAUUGUGCUCUUUUGCCUCGGCAGGCGAGAAAACCGCCGACAUCAGCAACCCUCAAUGAAAAAAAAAAUAGAAGAGGGGGUAGAAAACGUUG
rnacentral:lncRNA from 1 species